UUUUGAUAUUACAGUUUAAACUUAGCACAUAUUUAACAAUCAUAAAGACAAAAUCCUCUGUUUUGUGUAAUAUUUCAUUUUCUUAUGCUGAAAGGGCCCUAUAGGUCAUGAAAUAUUAAAUAACAAUAGAAAAUGGCAAAUAAUGAAGGAAAAGGCCUUGGAGAAAAGUGAUAAACAGUACAUAAAGGUGUGGAUGUAUGGCACAAUGUCAAUGGUAAACAAUUAAUCAAAUGAAGAUGGUAAACAAUUUGUUCGUCAAUUUACAUGUACAAGAGCCCUGCAACACCCUACAUGUUAUGUAGCUACUAUUGUUAUAUAAUGUUCAGUAUACUUGUUUGAAAAGGUCACUUCCAUAUAUAUAAAAGCAACCAGUGUAUUAAAGUUUGAUAGAGGAUAAACUUAUUAAAGAUGAUUUAUUGUUGGUUGCUUAACGUCCAGUGGCAAAUAUUUCAUGCAUGUUCAGGACGAGAACAAAUAAACAACAAAUACAAUAGGUAGGUCCUGUAAGUUUAAUAGAGGCCGUUCGGGGAAGUUUAGACUGCCACUGUAAAAUGAGUGGAAAUUGGAUAGGGACAGACAUUUUGCCUUGCAACAGGCCGCCUACGGACCCCUCCAAGUGUUGUUGUAAGAACUCUUACGAGCAUAGUGCGUGGCACUCUCUAUACACGAGGCAUCGGAUUUAAAGUAAAUUGGUUAGCAGGGGCGGAUCCAGCCAUUUUAAAAGGGGGGUCCGAACCCAGGAUAAAGGGGGUUCAAACCACAUCUCCCAAUUUAAAUGCAUAAUCGUAAAAAAAAAGGGGGGUUCCAACCCCCGAAAAAAACCCUCCCUCGAUCCGCCACUGGUUAGACGAUUUUUAAAUUUUUGUGGUUGUACGUCGUCGGGCACCUGUUUACUAUUAUCACCGACACUUACGGCACUUUUCGCAUGUAAUAGUUUGAAGGGCACCAAAAUUUAAAUCAAUAACUUGUUUAAAAAGACGUUUUUAAAAGCCAAGUUUCAGUUAAAUUGGUGUGAAAAUAAAUCUGACUCAUAUUUAUGUCACAAAGUCAAAGACCAAUGGCGCCAAUUUUGCAAAAAAUGCAAAUGGCGCCGCCUGAUUCAUUUUCCCCAAAACAGACGUGAUUCAUGCAGUCUAUUAUGCUGAAUUAAUAAUAUUUUGAAGAAAUGUGAUACAACACAUGCUUAAAAUUUUAAGAUUUAUAGUUUUGUUCCUAUACAAAGUCAAAAGGCAUCGUUAAACCCACACGGGUAACACUUACUUGUAGCAGUCUCUGCACACGUUUUGAUCAACUUGUAACGUUGGCGAAAAUCACGU
rnacentral:lncRNA from 1 species